rnacentral:rRNA from 1 species
UUUGCUCGGUCUGUGUGGGCCAUUGUUCAAAUAGCUUCAAAUCUUUACCCCCCACGUAGUGCACGAAACAUGUUCGGCAAUUGGUUGAGGGGAAUCGAAAAACAAUUUUCCGCACACAUUCUAGUGGGGGCGGCUACCUUAUGUUGGGCAUUGUGGCUUACCAGAAAUGAUAUAGUUUUUAACAAAAAAUAUGUUUCAUCCCCUAUGUAGGUUAUUCAUGUAUGUUCGCGAUGGCGCCGUACUUGGUCUAUCCUACAGAGGCCGGAGGACAGAGACCUUUUUAUGAUGGCGUCUACUUGGCUGGAGCAUACGGCCAGGGAGGUUUUCUACCCCAUGGAUUGCGGUGUGAUCUUCGGAUAG